GUCGGGAUCUUGUUAGCUACUACUUCAACGUCUUUAUGCUCAGGAGGCGGGCUGUUCAAAACAGAUCUAAUCUGUUGGAGAUUGACAGUGAUGAUGAUGAGUCACAAGGGAAUGAUGGGGGUUUCUUCAGAGUUGUAGGAGAGGACGAAGAUUCUGUUGUGGAGUCGCUUGGGGAUCAAGAUGUUCAGGAAGGAUCUGAAGAUGAUAUCCCCUCUGAUGAUGAAGAUGAUGCAGGUGAUGAUGAUGAUGAUGAUGAUGAUGAUGAUGAUGACAGUGAUGAUGGCAAUGGUGAUGGUGAAGUUGGUAGGGACGGUGGUGUGGGAGCUGAGAGGGGGGAUGCUAUUGGAAUGGGUGAUCCGAGAGGUCAAAUUCUGAAGCCUCAGAUUGACAUAU
rnacentral:lncRNA from 1 species